AGAUGCAGACUUAAGAAAUUUUUAAUGUCUUCUUUGCCUUCAUCAUCAACUUGUCAAAUCUUAUCUUUUUCUACAACCAUAUUCAUGGCCCCAAGUUCAUUUGUCAAUAAAUCAUACGUGCUCACCAGGGGAAUCAAUUCCUUUGAAACCAUUUCCUUGAAGAAAAAGCAAGCAUGCUCAACUCUCCCACUCUUUAUAAGCCCAGUAAUCAGAAGACCAUAAGGGGUUGUUUGGUAUACCGUUUUCUUUACUCAGGAAUGGGGAUUUGAAGUCUAGCCUGUGAUUAGUAUUGCAUUUUUAAUUUUUUAAGUUGGGGAGUUCAAUUUACUAUGGGUUCUCCUUGGCUUUAUAUGAAGCGAAAUUAUCUCAAUUGGAUUGCUCAAGCUUAUUAGUUCGAGAUAGAAGGUGCAAGUAGAAGAUUGAAAUUGUUCGUGAACUGAAAAAAAUUGAUGGACUGUCAUUUGAACAACAAAUUGAAGCUGGAAAACUUUUUGUCCAAAAUGAAGCUUGUACGGAUCUUUUAUUUACUUUUCGGAUGAUGAAUACAAGUUGGUAUUAGUUCUUGGUAUUUCAAAAAAUACUUUUGGGGUGAAUUUAUAUGUGUUUUACUUUUGAAAAAACUUUUAAUUAGUUGGUUAAUUUCAUCUUUUGGAUUAUAAACUA